rnacentral:rRNA from 1 species
UGGAUCCAGACUUUGAUCCUGGCUCAGGAUGAACGCUAGCUACAGGCUUAACACAUGCAAGUCGAGGGGAAACGACAUCGAAAGCUUGCUUUUGAUGGGCGUCGACCGGCGCACGGGUGAGUAACGCGUAUCCAACCUGCCCACCACUUGGGGAUAACCUUGCGAAAGUAAGACUAAUACCCAAUGAUAUCUCUAGAAGGCAUCAGAAAGAGAUUAAAGAUUUAUCGGUGAUGGAUGGGGAUGCGUCUGAUUAGCUUGUUGGCGGGGUAACGGCCCACCAAGGCUACGAUCAGUAGGGGUUCUGAGAGGAAGGUCCCCCACAUUGGAACUGAGACACGGUCCAAACUCCUACGGGAGGCAGCAGUGAGGAAUAUUGGUCAAUGGGCGAGAGCCUGAACCAGCCAAGUAGCGUGCAGGACGACGGCCCUAUGGGUUGUAAACUGCUUUUAUAAGGGAAUAAAGUGAGUCUCGUGAGACUUUUUGCAUGUACCUUAUGAAUAAGGACCGGCUAAUUCCGUGCCAGCAGCCGCGGUAAUACGGAAGGUCCGGGCGUUAUCCGGAUUUAUUGGGUUUAAAGGGAGCGUAGGCCGGAGAUUAAGCGUGUUGUGAAAUGUAGAGGCUCAACCUCUGCACUGCAGCGCGAACUGGUCUUCUUGAGUACGCACAACGUGGGCGGAAUUCGUGGUGUAGCGGUGAAAUGCUUAGAUAUCACGAAGAACUCCGAUUGCGAAGGCAGCUCACGGGAGCGCAACUGACGCUGAAGCUCGAAAGUGCGGGUAUCGAACAGGAUUAGAUACCCUGGUAGUCCGCACGGUAAACGAUGGAUGCCCGCUGUUGGCCUGAAUAGGUCAGCGGCCAAGCGAAAGCAUUAAGCAUCCCACCUGGGGAGUACGCCGGCAACGGUGCAACUCAAAGGAAUUGACGGA